GGCUGCCUGACUCUAAGGAAGGUUCUCUGGUUGGAAAUCCCUGACUGGUGGUUUUCCAUGAGCCUGGAUCUUCAGACGUGGGAAUGAAAGGAAGAUUUUGAUAAUGGAAUUGGUGGUACUUCCCCUUUUGUAAUUGGCUGUGAAAGAAGCUGCUAUUGCACCAAGUCCCUCCAUCUGUGAGCCCAUUGAGCUGGCAUUGCAUAUAUGUGACCAAUGACCAAAGUGGUUUAACUGUGUCUAUGUGAGAAGGGAAAAAUAAAUCAAAAGGCCUAUUUCUGGAGGGAUCAGCCUAUUCUCGUGUGAGAGGUCUUCUCUUUCAUGUAGAGAAUCAUCCCAGAGUUCUGGCAAACCAUGGUUUUGAAUAUACUCCCUUUUCCCCAAAUAUCCUGUCACAUACCAGAGGUGUAACCAUAUCCACAGUCUUAACUCCAGGUGGCUGGAAGCUGAUUCUGCAUAAAUUAAAGAGAAAAGGUGAUACAGCACACUGUAAUCUAACUGCAGCAAUGGGGUAGUUCAUGCCAGGGAUGCAGCUUUCACUCAAGCUGACUACAAUGGACAGCAAAGGGGAAGUUUCCAUGGAGCUUCAUCCUGCUUCAUCCCUUUCCUUUAGCUCUGCCUCGUGAAACAAAGCCAUAAAGAGAGCGUUCAUUGCUGGGAAGGAUGUGGAAAAGUUUCUCCUCUGUAGUGGACUUGGUAGUAGCACAGAAGAUUGCCUAAUUAAUAUAAUAAAUGAGGUGAGAAUUAUGAAAAGAAAAGAUGCUUCUUUUCAGAGCUGAAAAUUGAAGCAUGUGAGAUAGUCUGGAGGCUCUGUUUAUAAAUCUUUCUUACACAGACAUCAAAGCAGUGGGACUGGAAAAAGCCCUAAGGGGCUUGUGAAACAGAGUUUUGACUAAAAAUGGGUAUAACUAAUAUGGGUCAAAGCUUGCAUUAAGUGGAUAAGAAUUCAGAGUUUGUCAGUUUAGUCCUUUCUACUGGACAGCCAAAAUUUGGCAGGAUAUAUCAAGAAGAUAAUCUCUAUUAUAAUGUUUUUAGAAUUUCCUGCUUUGCUUCAGCCUGGAAAUGCUUCAAGAUUGGCUUUUUUGUGAUAUUUUCAGACUGCAUUUUUUUUCAUUUCUUAUUUAUUUGUAUGUUGGCCUUCCUUUUUCAAGCUGAAGACUAAGCUAAAGCCGUUGUGUGGGAGAAAGCAAGAUGAGGCUAGCUGAAUUGGACAAUGAGGUUAAAGAGUUUGAGGAGUGGGAAUUAAAAGAAUUUGUUGCUGUUAUUAGGGUUGCACCAUCUGAAGAUAUGGGACAUGGAUACUUUCACAGCCAGCAGCAAAAUCUGGGAGGAAAGUGUAGGCAAGGCGUUUGCUUUUAUAUCCAAAUCAAUGAUGGAAGUAAAACCGAAAGACCUUCAUUUAGUGACCAAGCAUCUCUGUGCAAGCAGCUGAGUAUCUCUGCACUUGGUUUGAAAGGAGAUGAUUUAUUUCAUAGUGAUACAUGGUUCUUCCUAGGUACCCUUUAAACACCCUUUCUGCAACUGUCUCUUGCUCUAUUUUGGUGUAGGCUUGUAUG